rnacentral:lncRNA from 1 species
UUGGGAACUUAGUUACAAUGUACAUGUGGACUAGGCUAAAAACCUAUGGUUGUUUAACUCGUAAUAAGAGGAUUCUGGCUUCAUCUAAUGUAAUAUGUGUUGUGGCAUGCUUUGUUUACCGAUCCAUCUUUCUUGUGAUCUUUCUUGUCGACUCUACGUGGAGUGUUUGAAAUUGCCAUAUUUUAUGUAGCCUAAAAUGGCAAAACAUAUAUGUUUGAUAUUACACACCAGCGCUAUACAUGUACCAAACACUAGAACCUGUAUGUAGUCAUGAUCAAAGCCAAAGCCAUAUAAUGUAGUCAAUGUUGGUCAAAGCCAUAUAAACUCAGUUGUGAGAUUGUUAAUUGAUCGUUGUGAACUGAUGGAUUGGCGUCGGCCACGCUCAGACUAGACGAAACGUGUGAGUGAGUUCGAUAUACUGCAUGUCGUUCGGUUGAAAACGACUCAAAUAGUUAUCGUGUGACAUCAUCCACUCAUUGUAUAUAUAACACGUUUGUUACUCAUAAUAGGACAGGACCAGACUGUCUUACAUAGUCUAAUAUCACAAAUCUCACGUUUAGCAACAAGCAAGACUUUUUUAAGGAGCAUACAUAGUCUGAAUUCUUCAUGAGACAUUUUACUAUAGACUGUCCAAAAACCAUGAGUUUGUUGGAGCCCUUCUUCUCUCUGAGUGAGUUCUCUAUAUUUUGAGCGUGUCGCAGCUCAAUAGCCUCCUAGCCUCACCACCAAUAUUAGGCUAACAUCGUCACUUUUAGCCCUGACCUCUCCAAGAGUCCAAGUCGGAUAUGAGUCCCUAAUAUAUGAAGCUUCCCCAAAAUUUCCAUGAUUCCUUGUUACUAGUACCAAAUUCUGCAACAAUGACUUAAUUGUUAGACAAUAUUCGAUAAUAUUUGACAUAAGAAAGAAGGAGAGACUUUUUAAUGAGGACUCUUAAGAACGAAAAGUCUUCAACUUAUGAGUUCUCACGAGAAUGGCUCACAUAUAAACAAAAUACUUGGUAUAGAGUACAAUCAUAUUUUCGUAUUUUUAAGAAAGUUGGAAUUGAGAAGAUGAAAAUGGUUCAUUGGGCCAAAGCCCAGAUUCGAUUUUAGGCUGAAAGCCCAAGUUUAAAUCAUGACACGCCAUAACCUCAUCUUUAUAUAUAGAUCAGAUCGAGGCCUUGCUCCUUUGGGAUCGAAAUAGCAACCGAAUUGAAGGAGAGAGACGCCAAACCCUAAUCGAAGCCAGCGAUGAAGACCAUGAGGCUCCAACCCUCGUCACCGGACCCAAACCAACCCAAGAAGGCGAAGCCGGACAGCAUCGAUGAAGAACAUUUAGCCCGCUUUUUUUUUACUCCUGAAGAUCGAAAUCUCCCGCCAGACGAAUUUUGGAGUAAGCGUACGGACGGCUUCAUCGAAGGUAUGCUCUUGAUUUUGUUUUUUGUUUUUUGAUUACGAGGAAUCAGUACAAUACAAAUAGUGCUUUAUUUGUUUGAAUUAAUGAAUGAAUUGAAGAACAGAGAAUAGUAAAGAGGAAAAUUGCAUCGAUCUAGUUUGCUCAUUCUGCGUAUGAUUAUUAUUCAGAGUUAGGGUUUUAAUUAUGUGCUCUGUAUCAUAUUUGUGUAUUAAGAUUCAUUGAUCACCAACACCACUAGUUUGAUUAGGAUCAUGCCGCUGAUCUCUGAUGUUUCUGAUUGAAUUCAUUUCAUUUGAUUUGCUCAUCAUUGAGUCAUUAUUGUCUCUCAUUAAGACAUACAUUUCAUUAUCCUGACUUUUCUAUGUCUUUCAUUCGAUACCGCCGGGUUCUGUUUUAACCUUUUUUUUUUUUCUUUUUUUUCCGGGUGCAAAGCUAUGAUGGAAAAAAUUCCUAAAUCUUGUGCGGGGUUAGAAAAGAAGCUUCCAGAAACUUUACCAGAGGGAUGUACAUGGGGUUAUGACGUCCCUGGGAGUGGACUUAGAAGCUAUGUUGUUAAGAUGUUUUGCCUCUAUUGUGGUGCGGCUCACUUGGAGGAGGACUGCCCGAAGAAGGAUACUCAAGGGGCCAAGCCUAUAUUCAAUUUCCCCAUCUUCCGCCCCAAGACCAAGUAACUCAUUGUGUAUGAGUCGUGUUUAUCCGUCUACAUUACUUAUCUCCCUAUAUGAAUGUAUGAUGUUAGCACUUAGCAAUCCUAUGAUCUACCUAAGUCUUCUGGAUAUUGGGAACUUAGUUACAGUGUGCAUGUGGACUAGGCUAAAAACCUAUGGUUGUUUAACUCGUAAUAAGAGGAUUCUGGCUUCAUCUAAUGGGAUAUGUGUUGUGGCAUGCUUUGUUUACCGGUCCAUCUUUCUUGUCGACUCUACGUGGAGUGUUUGAAAUUGCCAUAUUUUAUGUAGCCUAAAAUGGCAAAACAUAGAUACAUGUACCAAAGACUAGAACCUGUAUGUAGUCAUGAUCAAAGCCAAAGCCAUAUAAUGUAGUCAAUGUUGAUCAUAGACAUAUAAACUCAGUUGUGAGAUUGUUAAUUGAUCGUUGUGAACUGUUUGAUAACCUCCUUCACCACAUCACCUACUUGUUUUUAAGCUCUUUGAUCCCCUGGUCUUGAUUUUUCUGCCCG